rnacentral:rRNA from 1 species
AUGCACGCUGGCGGCGUGCCUAAUACAUGCAAGUCGAGCGAACAGACGAGGAGCUUGCUCCUCUGACGUUAGCGGCGGACGGGUGAGUAACACGUGGAUAACCUACCUAUAAGACUGGGAUAACUUCGGGAAACCGGAGCUAAUACCGGAUAAUAUAUUGAACCGCAUGGUUCAAUAGUGAAAGACGGUUUUGCUGUCACUUAUAGAUGGAUCCGCGCCGCAUUAGCUAGUUGGUAAGGUAACGGCUUACCAAGGCAACGAUGCGUAGCCGACCUGAGAGGGUGAUCGGCCACACUGGAACUGAGACACGGUCCAGACUCCUACGGGAGGCAGCAGUAGGGAAUCUUCCGCAAUGGGCGAAAGCCUGACGGAGCUACGCCGCGUGAGUGAUGAAGGUCUUCGGAUCGUAAAACUCUGUUAUUAGGGAAGAACAAAUGUGUAAGUAACUAUGCACGUCUUGACGGUACCUAAUCAGAAAGCCACGGCUAACUACGUG